rnacentral:misc_RNA from 1 species
UGGUGAACCAGCGGAGGGAUCAUUACCGAGUUUUAUACUCCCAACCCUGUGAACAUACCAAUCGUUGCUUCGGCGGGCGGACCCGGGGGGUCCCCAGGCGCUCUGCGCGCCCGCCGACGGCGCCAAACUCAAGCUUCAGCGGACUUCUGAGUGAAAAACAAACAAGUAAAAACUUUCAACAACGGAUCUCUUGGCUCUGG